UUUUAAUUGACUCAACCCGGGAAAACUCACCAGGACCGGACAUAAGCAUGAUUGACAGAAUGAAAGGGCUUUCUUGAUUUUAUGGGUGGUGGUGCAUGGCCGUUCUUAGUCGGUGAGGUGACUUGUCUGGUUAAUUCCGUUAACGGACGAGACCUUGACCUGCUUGUUUGUAUUCGAGAUCUUCUCGGAAUACAUGUAGAGGGACUACAGAAGUUUAUUCUGUGGAAGUUCGAGGCUAUAACAGGUCUGUGAUGCCCUUAGAUGCUCUGGGCUGCACGUGUGCUACAAUAGUGGAAUCUUUGAGACACGACCUCACGAGAGGGAGUAUAUCUCGAAAAUCUGCUGUGUCUGGGAUUGACCAUUGCAAUUUUGGGUCAUGAACGUGGAAUUCCUAGUAACGAUGAAUCAUUACUUCAUCUUGAUUACGUCCCUGCCCUUUGUACACACCGCCCGUCGCUUCAACCGAUUGAAUGAUCCGGCGAAUUCCAUGGACGUGACAAAUGGAUUAUUGUCCUGCUGUCCUGAAAAUGGCGCGAGCCUUGUCAUUUAGAGGAUGAAGAAGUCGUAACAAGGUAAC
rnacentral:rRNA from 1 species